rnacentral:rRNA from 1 species
UUGGCUUAGAAGCAGCCAUCAUUUAAAGAAAGCGUAAUAGCUCACUGGUCGAGUCGGCCUGCGCGGAAGAUGUAACGGGGCUAAACCAUGCACCGAAGCUGCGGCAGCGACACUAUGUGUUGUUGGGUAGGGGAGCGUUCUGUAAGCCUGUGAAGGUGUACUGUGAGGUAUGCUGGAGGUAUCAGAAGUGCGAAUGCUGACAUAAGUAACGAUAAAGCGGGUGAAAAGC